rnacentral:rRNA from 1 species
AGAGUUUGAUCAUGGCUCAGAUUGAACGCUGGCGGUAGGCUUAACACAUGCAAGUCGUGCGAGAAAGUAUCUUCGGAUAUGAUUAGAGCGGCGGACGGGUGAGUAACGCGUAGGAAUCUACCUAGUAGAAGGGGAUAGCCCGAGGAAACUCGGAUUAAUACCGUAUACCUCCUUCGGGAGAAAGAAGGCCUCUCUUUGAAGCUUUCGCUACUAGAUGAGCCUGCGUAAGAUUAGCUUGUUGGUGAGGUAAAGGCUCACCAAGGCGACGAUCUUUAGCGGGUCUGAGAGGACGAUCCGCCACAUUGGGACUGAGACACGGCCCAGACUCCUACGGGAGGCAGCAGUGGGGAAUAUUGGACAAUGGGCGCAAGCCUGAUCCAGCCAUACCGCGUGUGUGAAGAAGGCCUUAGGGUUGUAAAGCACUUUAAGUUGGGAAGAAAGGUUAUUGGCUAAUACCCAAUAACUGUGACAUUACCAUCAGAAUAAGGACCGGCUAAUUCCGUGCCAGCAGCCGCGGUAAUACGGAAGGUCCAAGCGUUAAUCGGAAUUACUGGGCGUAAAGCGCGCGUAGGUGGUUUAUUAAGUUGGAUGUGAAAUCCCCGGGCUCAACCUGGGAACUGCAUUCAAAACUGGUUCACUAGAGUACGAUAGAGGGAGGUAGAAUUCACAGUGUAGCGGUGGAAUGCGUAGAUAUUGUGAAGAAUACCAAUGGCGAAGGCAGCCUCCUGGAUCUGUACUGACACUGAGGUGCGAAAGCGUGGGUAGCGAACAGGAUUAGAUACCCUGGUAGUCCACGCCGUAAACGAUGUCAACUAGCUGUUGGAAAGCACUGCUUUUCAGUGGCGCAGCUAACGUAGUAAGUUGACCGCCUGGGGAGUACGGCCGCAAGGUUAAAACUCAAAUGAAUUGACGGGGGCCCGCACAA